ensembl:lincRNA
AUGUGCACCAGAAGGCUCCUGUUUCCUGAAACUCACUCCUGCUCUGUUUUCCAGGUCUAUAAAGGAGAAUUUCAGCUACCUGACUUUCUGAAAGAAAAUCCCCAGGGACGACUGCUGCCUUUUCUACAGAAGGGAGAUCUCUGGAACUGCUGUCUUCUGCUGGGAGAAGUGGGGUAUCCUAACCACCUGCCAGCCUCAUCCCUGAGGGUGGUGUCACACAGCCAGCCUCCUUUAGUGAUGGCUCUUGAGCCCCUGACAUGCACCACCCUCGAAAUGAGGAAUCCAGCAGGGAUAGAGUUCUGUUACAGCUCCUCUUGUGAAUGUCUUUUCUUACCAGAUUCUAGUCUUAGUUUCAAGAGCGGAAGACUUUAAAGAUGGCAUUCUGUUAACAAACUUGGCAGUCUCGUUCAGAAUAGGUACACGUUCCAGCGUUUUGUACAAUACCCGCGCCUGUUUAAAUGUAUUGAUGCGGAUUAUAGAAAUACCUUAAUUAUUUAAAUAAUUCAGUGCAUUGUUUCAGAGACGUUGGGAAAUUACUGUACACAUUUACAACCUAAUGACUUUUGUAUUUUAUUUUUCAAAAUAAAAGCUUAAAUGUGAAGCAUUCGAGUGGUUGUGUUUUCAGUACUGUCCUUUAGAGGCACAAACUUUCUCAGAUGGUGCUGAACCAGCUUCCUGUGGCCUGUGCUAUAGGUCCAUCUGUAUGUGUGGCCUGAGGUUGAUGCCAGGUGUCCUUCUCUUACCCUUCACCAUAUUUUUUGAGACAAGGUUUCUCGGUGAACCUGGAGCUUGGGUUUUUUUUUUUUUUUUUUUUUUUUUUUUUUUUUUUUGGCUAGGCUGCUAGAAUAACUGGUCAGCAAGCCGUAGGAAUCUUUCUGUCUUUACUUCACCAUCUCUGGAGUUAUAGAGACUUACACAGCUAUCAUGCCUUACUUUUACAUAGGUGUUGGGGAUCUGAAUCCAUAUCCUCAGGCUCACAUAGCAAGUACUUUAUCUCAUAAACCAUCUAUCUCCCUAGUUGUUGGCAUGAUCAUUUCUUAAUGAAGUUUUGUUUGUUUUGAGAUGGGGUCUCUUUAUGGCCCUGGUUGCCCUGGAACUCACUAUAUAGAUCAUGAUGGAACAGAAAUCACAGAGAUCUGCCUGCCUCUGCCUCAACAGCACUGUGAUUAAAGGAGUGCACCACUUCACUCGCUCUGGAGACCAGGCUGGCCUUGAACUCACAGAGAUCCGCCUGCCUCUGCCUCCUGAGUACUGGGACUAAAGGCCUGCGCCACCAACGCCUGGCUAGAUUUCUGUAACGUAUUUCAAAGACCUGUUGCCAUUCUUUGAUGAAUCCUGUUCUGUUUGAUCCUGGCAUGCUGUGUUUAAGGCCAAAGAACUGACUGUUUGAAAAGAAGCUGUUAUUGUGGAACACAGAAUAAUGGAGAUGAUAAUAAUCACAUUUAUCGAUUAUAUUUCCAGUGCCAGGCAUGGAACAAAAUGUUUUAUGUAUUAUUCCAUCUUCACACCUGCUGCUGGUUUAGUCAUAUCUUCGUCACCAGCAACAGCACUUUCCACCCUGUCACUCAGCCAGAAACUUAAAGGUCAUCCUUGUUUUCACCCUCUUCUCUUUCCAUUCAUGCAUGUCUAAGAGUACAAGACCUUUGAUCCUACCUUCAAGUGAUUAUUGAAUUUAUCCACUUGCCUCCAGCUUCCCUGUCCCAACCCUAAUCAAAGAACUCACCAUCUGUCAUCACGACACCAUUACAAUAGAUAAACUAAGCAGUAUCUCCAGUUCCACACAUGCCCCAUCCUCUCCACUUAAAACUUCACUGCCUCCUUGGGAACAGAGUGCACACUCUGCUGUGAUCCAGCCCCAGUCCUCUGAUUGAUCCCACCAUAGACCUCUGUACAUGUUAGCUCUCUCCCUGGAAUGUCUUCCCCUCUGCUCCUGGCCUGGUAGCCGCCUCCUGAGGUCCCUGCAAGUCCUAUGUCUUCAGGAAGAUUCUUCUAGCUCUUGUACUAAAAUUGGUCACCCUGUGCUGGUUACUUUUGCAUUGCUGUGACCAACAUACUCAACAGAAACAAUUUCACAGGAAGAAGGGAUUCUUUUGGCUUGUGGUCCGUCAUGGAGGGAAGGCAUGGAGAGUGGAUGUUGAGUAUUUGACCAGCAAGCACAGUGGGCAGAGCCAGGCGUGGGUAUGACCUUCAAAGGUGCACCCUGGAAGAAGGUACUUUUAGAACCCAGUUGCCUCUCAGACCACAGUACUACAGCAACCUUCCCCUUACAUCCAAACAGGCUCCUUACUGAGACAUUGUCUGUGAGGCUAACAGGCUUCCUUGUGACCAGAUUUCUGACCUGGGGAAGUUAGCUAACACUAAAGGGGGUCUUGGUGGCCAUCCUAUUCCCUAUUCUCUGCCUCCUGCCUGGGAAUGGGAGAGCCUGGCUGCAGGAUUUUCUUCCCAUCCUCAGAAAGGUAGAAGAGACUCCUGCUUCUGCCAUGUAGGCCCUGAUUUCUCCCUCCAGCUCUGUCUGUAGUGGCUGUUUUGUCUGUCUAUAGCAUGAAUAAAUCUUUUGGUAAAUGCUUUACCCUCAACAGUCCUUCUUAGUGUUCUUUUUAAACCUAUGUCUGAGACCUUCCAUGCCCCUGAUGACAUUAAUACCUCCAUCAGGCUCCUGAAGGAUAGAUCCCACUCACAGAUGGCCACAAGUCUAUGAUGUGGCCUCUGUACUCCACUGACACUCCUUUGCAUUCCUUUGUAACAUCUUUUUUUCCUGGCCUAUGUAUAUUUCUUUUUCCUUUUAUCUCUCC